AUGCAUUCUGUUCUUUUUGACUUGCUUCGUAUGGGACAUCCUCAUGGUUCUAUUUCUAGUGUUUUAAAUUUUUUGUGGUGUCUCUGGAAGGCUAGAAAUGAUUUUCUCUUUGAUAGAAAAAAGGCUCUUCCCCACCAAGUUCAUAUUGCAGCUCUUGCUUUAGCUUCUGAUUGUUAUGAUAAUCUUCCAUGUUUACCUUCGAAGCAGGAUCAAGCUCAUAAUCAAUUGCCUCCUAAUCAGCUCCCUAUGCAAGGUAGAACGCUUAAGACAGAUCUGUUAAUUGUUGGCCCUAAGAUCUAUUCUGAUGCCGCUUAUAGGACCAAGAAAGUUCCAGGUUUGUUGCAAGGAGAGGUUGCUACAGGUGUGGGAGUGUACAUCUCUAUGCCCUUCAACCAAAAGGAAAUUAAUGUGCAAGUUCAAGCUUCGGCUUCUCCUACUUCUACUCCUCUGCAAGCUGAAGCAUUGGCUCUUUCUUUUGCUGCUCAUCUUGCUUCUCAACUCAAUAUUGCGCAGCCCACUUUUCUUUUGGAUUGUCUUGCUUUAGCUUUGGCUGUUGCCUCAGGUAAUAUUUGUGAUUCUGCCACCCCUUGGAAUAUUAGAAAGUCUUUGGCUAGCUUUUUCAAAUGUACAUCUAAUUUGCAACCGUGCGUGUUUCAUAUUUCUAGAGAAAUCAAUGGUAUUGCUCACAAUCUUGCGCAACAGGUUUUUCGUUCUGAUGGGCACACUCAACUCUCUUGUUUUGCUGCUACUCAUUCUCAAGUUUCUUGUCCUGUGUUGCCCCUUCUUUCAAAUUUCCAGAUUCAGGGUUUUAGAAUUCAUACUUUACAUUGCUACUAA
rnacentral:rRNA from 1 species